GAUGAACGCUGGCGGCGUGCCUAAUACAUGCAAGUCGAGCGAACAGACGAGGAGCUUGCUUCUCUGACGUUAGCGGCGGACGGGUGAGUAACACGUGGAUAACCUACCUAUAAGACUGGGAUAACUUCGGGAAACCGGAGCUAAUACCGGAUAAUAUAUUGAACCGCAUGGUUCAAUAGUGAAAGACGGUUUUGCUGUCACUUAUAGAUGGAUCCGCGCCGCAUUAGCUAGUUGGUAAGGUAACGGCUUACCAAGGCAACGAUGCGUAGCCGACCUGAGAGGGUGAUCGGCCACACUGGAACUGAGACACGGUCCAGACUCCUACGGGAGGCAGCAGUAGGGAAUCUUCCGCAAUGGGCGAAAGCCUGACGGAGCAACGCCCCGUGAGUGAUGAAGGUCUUCGGAUCGUAAAACUCUGUUAUUAGGGAAGAACAAAUGUGUAAGUAACUAUGCACGUCUUGACGGUACCUAAUCAGAAAGCCACGGCUAACUACGUG
rnacentral:rRNA from 1 species